GCAUAUGCCGCUAACAAGCCUGGUUCCACAGCCCCUCACCAGGGUUCAGAGGGUCUCUGCAGUUUCUUACCUCUACUCUUGCUUCGUCUUCCCCAAGACAGGUCUUGAUAACAAACCCCUCCUUACAUAGUAAGAUUCUUGCUAUGUGGGAUUUUGGCUUUCCUGACCCAACAGUGCCUGUAAAGCCAUGGUACAGGAGAUCACUCUGAGGCGGGGGCAGCCACACUGAACUACUUGGGCAAGUUUCUUCACCUAUACGUGCCUCAGAUUCCCUAUCUGUAAAACGCAGGAUACACAGUUCGGACCGACCAACCAAAGCCAACACCUCAUGAAAGGGAAGAAACAGCACAUCACCCAUCAGAGAGGAGCUCACACGACUCUCACAGUCCCAGGACAACUGUUGGAGCUCCUGUUAGGCUUCCUCUUCAUGUGUGAAGAGGAGACCUCAGAGUUUCCUAGAGCAGCCUCUAAACAGACAAUAAAGACCAAUUGCUAA